UACGUAGGGGGCAAGCGUUGUCCGGAAUCAUUGGGCGUAAAGCGCGUGUAGGCGGUCCGAUUAGUCGGCUGUGAAAGUCAAGGGCUCAACCCUUGAAUGCCGGUCGAUACUGUCGGACUAGAGUCCGGAAGAGGCAAGUGGAAUUCCCGGUGUAGCGGUGAAAUGCGUAGAGAUCCGGAGGAACACCAGUGGCGAAGGCGACACGCUGGGCCGUACCUGACACUGAACCGCGACAGCAUGGGGAGCAAACAGG
rnacentral:rRNA from 1 species